UUGGGGGAGCUGCCAGAGGUCCGUCAGCAUUAAUUCCUGCUGACUGGGGCGGAGGGUAAGAGCUAGAGAAGCUUGGCCAGAUCUGAUUGGGGGCAGGCAGCGGGCAUUGGGGGCUUUGAUCGUGGGUUGGGUGAUUCUGACUGGCUCUCAUUCAAAGAGACAUUGGAAACCUAUCGGGUAUUGCUUGUAUUCUGGUUAAGGAGGGUCACAGGGCCGCGUCUAGGUCAGAAAGGGGGCCAUGUGGCGUCUACUGAGCUUGUAGAGCCGGUUUAGAAGAGGGAGCAGGGAUGAGCAAGAUCUGGGCGCUUAGGGACCUAGAGGAGCUCAGGAAUCUAGGAGGCGGCUGGCAUCUAGUGGAGCUGGAAGGCUGGAUUUUGGGGAAGGGAAUCCUCGUGGACUGAGCCUUCACCUGAAAGACCGCUGGGGCGGGGCCCCUCGCCCUCGAGGGAGGCGGAAGCCGUGAGGCCCGUAACCGGGGGCGGCGGUGGCGUGAAUCGCUUUGGAAAGAGGGUUCCUCGUUAGGCUCGAUGUGGAUCCGUCGCGCCCCCGCCGCUGGUCCUGAUGGCCCGCUUUUAUAUUCCCCCCACUCGCACUCCCGAGCCCGCGACUGCGUGGCCGAGGAUGGCUUAGCUGGCGGGGACCCCGCACUUGGACAGGCGCGGAUUGGAGGCCUCCGCUUCUCGGCGGAGAGCGCUUGCGUCUGCAUGUAGCCGCCUCUGCCUCGGGGACUCAACUUGGGUCUCACACAGAACUCCAGCGACCCAGCGCUGAUCCAGGCUCCUACCCCUGCAGUUCGCCUUGCGCCAUGGACUGGCAGCCAGACGAGCAGGGCCUGCAGCAGGUCUUGCAGCUUCUCAAAGACUCGCAGUCGCCCAACACAGCUACUCAGCGCAUUGUGCAGGAUAAACUUAAACAACUCAACCAGUUUCCUGACUUUAACAACUACCUGAUCUUCGUCCUGACCAGACUCAAAUCAGAAGAUGAGCCAACCCGCUCUCUGAGUGGCCUCAUCCUCAAGAACAAUGUGAAGGCGCAUUACCAGAGCUUCCCGCCUCCUGUGGCUGACUUCAUCAAACAGGAGUGUCUCAACAACAUUGGCGAUGCCUCCUCUCUCAUCAGAGCCACCAUCGGCAUUCUCAUCACCACCAUCGCUUCCAAGGGUGAGCUGCAGAUGUGGCCAGAGCUGCUGCCUCAGCUGUGCAACCUGCUCAACUCAGAGGAUUAUAAUACCUGCGAGGGAGCCUUUGGAGCCCUACAGAAGAUCUGUGAAGACUCCUCGGAGCUUUUGGAUAGUGAUGCUCUCAACAGGCCCCUCAACAUCAUGAUCCCUAAAUUCCUGCAGUUUUUCAAGCACUGCAGCCCUAAGAUCCGGUCCCAUGCCAUCGCCUGUGUGAACCAGUUCAUCAUGGACCGGGCCCAAGCGCUGAUGGACAACAUUGACACUUUCAUUGAGCACCUGUUUGCCUUGGCUGUGGAUGAUGACCCUGAGGUGAGAAAGAACGUGUGCCGGGCCCUUGUGAUGCUUUUGGAAGUGCGAAUUGACAGGCUCAUCCCUCACAUGCACAGCAUCAUCCAGUACAUGCUACAGAGGACCCAGGACCAUGAUGAGAACGUGGCCCUGGAGGCCUGUGAGUUCUGGCUGACGCUAGCCGAGCAGCCCAUCUGCAAGGAAGUCCUGGCCUCUCACCUGGUCCAGUUGAUCCCUAUCCUCGUGAAUGGGAUGAAGUACUCUGAAAUUGACAUCAUCCUUCUUAAGGGGGAUGUGGAGGAGGACGAGGCGGUACCUGACAGUGAGCAGGACAUCAAGCCCCGGUUCCACAAGUCACGCACAGUGACAUUGACUCACGAGGCUGAGCGGCCUGAUAGCUCUGAGGAUGCUGAGGACGACGAUGAUGAUGAUGCUUUGUCGGACUGGAAUCUGAGGAAGUGCUCUGCAGCUGCGCUGGAUGUCCUUGCCAAUGUCUUCCGGGAGGAACUGUUGCCCCACCUACUUCCCCUGCUCAAGGGCCUCCUAUUCCACCCUGAGUGGGUGGUCAAAGAGUCAGGGAUCCUGGUGCUGGGCGCCAUCGCUGAGGGCUGCAUGCAGGGAAUGGUGCCCUAUCUACCUGAGCUGAUCCCACACCUCAUCCAGUGCCUGUCAGAUAAGAAGGCUCUAGUACGCUCCAUUGCCUGCUGGACGCUGAGCCGCUAUGCCCACUGGGUAGUCAGCCAGCCACCUGACAUGCACCUCAAGCCUCUGAUGACGGAGCUGCUCAAGCGUAUCUUGGAUGGCAAUAAGCGGGUUCAGGAGGCAGCCUGCAGUGCAUUUGCUACCCUGGAGGAGGAGGCAUGCACGGAGCUGGUGCCCUACCUCAGCUAUAUCCUUGACACUCUCGUUUUUGCCUUUGGCAAAUACCAGCAUAAGAACCUGCUCAUCCUCUAUGAUGCCAUUGGCACCCUGGCCGACUCUGUGGGCCAUCACCUCAAUCAGCCGGAAUACAUUCAGAAGCUGAUGCCUCCACUGAUCCAGAAGUGGAAUGAACUCAAGGACGAAGACAAGGACCUCUUCCCCCUGCUGGAGUGCCUAUCAUCUGUGGCCACUGCCCUGCAGAGUGGCUUCCUGCCCUACUGCGAGCCUGUCUACCAGCGCUGUGUUACCCUGGUACAGAAGACACUGGCCCAGGCCAUGAUGUAUACACAACACCCCGAACAAUAUGAGGCCCCAGACAAAGACUUCAUGAUUGUUGCGUUGGACCUGCUUAGUGGCUUGGCUGAGGGCCUGGGUGGCCACGUGGAACAGCUGGUAGCUCGGAGUAACAUCAUGACAUUGCUCUUCCAGUGUAUGCAGGAUUCCAUGCCUGAGGUCCGGCAGAGCUCCUUUGCCCUUCUGGGAGACCUUACCAAAGCCUGCUUUAUCCACGUCAAGCCCUGUAUUGCUGAGUUCAUGCCUAUUCUGGGCACCAACCUGAACCCUGAGUUCAUCUCUGUCUGCAACAAUGCUACCUGGGCCAUUGGGGAGAUCUGCAUGCAGAUGGGGGCAGAGAUGCAGCCUUAUGUGCAGAUGGUCCUCAACAAUCUGGUGGAGAUCAUUAACAGGCCCAACACGCCCAAGACACUGCUGGAAAACACAGCCAUCACCAUCGGCCGCCUGGGCUACGUGUGCCCGCAGGAGGUGGCACCCAUGCUGCAGCAGUUCAUCCGGCCUUGGUGUGUGCCUGCCUGGGUGGGACCUGAUGGGGGUGGGCAGUACAGCUGUACCCUCCAGCGCCACCCCCCCAUGGAUGCAUGUGGGAGACCUCUACCCACUGACCCCACCCUGUCCCAUUCCCUCCAUCCAUCCUUCAUCUGUGCUUGUCCAGCCCCAAGUCCAUCCACUGACCUGCUGCCCUCCUCCAUGGCCAGGUGCACGUCCCUUAGGAACAUCCGGGACAACGAGGAGAAGGAUUCUGCCUUCCGAGGCAUCUGCAUGAUGAUUGGUGUCAAUCCUGGGGGUGUUGUGCAGGUCCGGGCAGCGGGGCUCAGAGGGCAGGGCGGGGGCUGGCUUGGGCGGCCCCUCACAUGGGAUUCGUCAUGUUUCAGGACUUUAUUUUCUUCUGCGAUGCUGUAGCCUCCUGGGUGAGCCCGAAGGAUGACCUUCGGGACAUGUUUUAUAAGAUCCUCCAUGGCUUCAAAGACCAAGUUGGGGAGGAGAACUGGCAACAGUUCUCAGAGCAGUUCCCACCUCUGCUCAAGGAGAGGCUGGCAGCCUUCUAUGGGGUCUAGGUGAACGUGGAGACCACCAGGUUUUUGUCUGCGUCAUCGUCGGAGGGUGUGCUGGGGAAUGUGCUGCUUCCAGAAGUCACUGUGCCCUGGUCGAGGGGGGUUAGGGAGGAGUCAGUGGGACCUAAAUCCAGGUGCAACCCAGUCUGUGCAUCUGUCCAUCUGUUGGUCCACUUGCCCCACCGGGCCUGAUGAGUGGGCAGGUGGGUGGGGACUCCAUUCUCAUCCUACAAAUAGGGAGGGGGGUGGGACUUCUUGGUGGGCAAGAGUUCUCUGGGCUCUAAUCUGGGUCAUCUCGAGCAGCCCACUUGGGCCAGCUAUGUGGGAGGGAGGAAUCCAUAAGGCCUGCCGAAUCCGGUGUCAGAUAAGGCAAGGGAAUUACAGGUGGGGAGGGGGGUUCCUUGUAGAGAAGCAUACACUCACAUGUACACAUGUGGACACACGCAUGUGCGGGCACCACAGCCAGCUAGGCUGGGCCAAACGCCCCACCAUUUCCUCGACUGCAUGGAGACAGUAGAAUUAGUGAACCCCCAAAUUAUGCCUAUGGCCUCUGUGUACCUUGCAUCUAGAGUAUAAGAAGCUUCUGCUGUUCUGCCAGACUCGGCGGCAAUUGGGAGGGCUGGGAGGUUUGGGGGACCUCAGCUGGGCUCCCAGGGCCAAGGGAGGAGGGUGGUCAUUUUGGGGCUGCCAUCUCAGCACUGGCUCACUUGGACCUGCUCCAUACACUUCCUGCCAGCUUCAUGGCAGCCUCAUGUAGUGUGUCCCCAUCGUUGUCACAUCCUAGCCAGCAGCAGAGUGGGGACCAUUGGAGCAGCUGAGACUGGCUUGAGGCUACCCUGUACCUGUGCUCCAAAGGUAAUUAAAGGCACAGGCCUGGGACUAGUUUUCCUUGAGAAAGCUAAUAAUGGUUGCCAGAGCUGCUUUCCUGGAUCUCUUGAAACAGCUUUAAGGAUAGUUCUUUGCUCCUGAGAACCCCAUUCUCAAGAGCUGGGGUAACAGCAUAUGAUGGUGAGAACAAAGGACGAAGUUUACUGGGUCCAGCAAGAUUUGAAGGCUUGGAGGAGCAGGGUGUACCCAGGGCCUCAAACUUUGUCCCUUUUGGGACUUAGGUUUAUCACAGUGUCCACUGGACUCAGACCACACCAGAUUGGUACACUGACUCAAAAUCUUUGAAGAAAUUUGUUCGCGAUGCCAUUGAAGUGGGAGGGGCUUCCCGAGAGGAGAGGGGCAUGAUUAUUUCCAGAUUAGCUAUGGAAAUGAGUCUUGUAAGAUCCCUGGGGUUUAUCUUCCAUCCCCUUCUUUGCUUCCUACAUAUUUGGGAGCCCAUUAUAUCUUGGGCUUUGACUGGAGUUCUGCAUUUUAGGGCCUGCUCCGUCAUCCCUCCAAGGACUUGGACCUUUAUCCCUUCCAGGCCUUGUGUCCUUUCUCAAGUAGGGUCAGGCCCUGCCUCUGUUCCCAGGGACACUUAGUGCACAUUCCAUAACUCAGCUACUGGUCCCCAUCCCCUCCAGCCUGAAACUUGAGCAGGUCUCUGGAAGCCAUUUGUAGGAAAAAAAAUUUUUUUAAAGAAAAAUACCAUUAGCUUUCUGGUAAUUCCACUUCUUAGGAGCAUCCUCUGCUGGGUCUUGGGGUGUAUUGAUGGAUUGACUAUCUGAUGUAGUUGUGGCCCCUCUUUGUCCAAGGGAGGGGGGGAGUUCCAACUACCUUCAGGAAACGGGAGCCUGAUUCUUGUAUUUCCCUUUUUUUAUUUUAUUUUACUUUAUUUUAUUUUAUUAUUUUUUUAAAGAAAUUAUUUAAUUUUUUAAUUUAUUUUUUAGUUGGUUUUUGCACAAUGAAGUUUGAGUUUCUUAACCUCCCUUGUCCGGGGCUGCUGACAUGGACUGAUCUUGAUCUGUAGCCCUCCCUGCUGCCUUUUCCCUGAGUCUUUAUUACCAUCACCCCCAUGGGCUCCCAGGUCUAUCCAUCUGUUACUGUGCUGUGCUGGGGACUAGCGCCUAGGUGGCGUGAGAUUCCACUCGUGUAGAACUUUGUUGAGUAAAGGUCAGUUUCUUGUGAAACA